AAGUUCGACCGGCGAGAGGCGCAGCGGGGCAGCUUCCUAAGAGGACGUGAGUCUAGGGGCCGGUGGGAUAGAGCUGGGAAGCCAGGCUGGAGGUUAAGGUGUGUGUUUGGGAGGGGACUGACCGGGUGGGGGGACACAGGUUAAUCUGGUGCUCAAGACCUGGCGGCAAGACCUCGGUCCCAGGAAGGGUACUGUCUUGAGAAGAACACUGAAGAGGAAAGGGGCUUGGCGCGCCUCAGGAAUAAAAAAGGAUGGCUCUCAGGGCCACCCAGUGAGCAACCGGGAAACUACUUACCAUGGACAGUGCUUGGAGAAUUUCAUUAGGUUCUCGGAAGCGACUUGUCUUUAUGAGUAAUUAAAAUA
rnacentral:lncRNA from 1 species